GCAAGACAAGGUGGUGGUGACACGGCUGAGGCGGUGGUGAUACCUAAAGUGCAGAAUGAGUAGGGGCGGCUUGUUCUUCAAGGAGUUUUCCCUUUUCUUUUUGUUUACUUGACUUUAUGAUUUUGGGAGGGAAUCAGUUCAAUUUUGUGGCAUUUUAUUGAGGUUAUUUUUGUAUUUUUCCUUUUUUUUUAAGUAUGUAUUUGUAAAGUUAUAAAUUUUAAUAGAUGGAGGUAUGUUUUGGGUAUUUUGAGGGAAACGGUAUAUAUCCCACGCAAUUCGCUCCUUUGGUUUUGGGCUUGGAAUCGGAUUGGGUGCUUUGGGUUUGGCUUUGGCUUUGUGGGUCACCGGUUUGGAUUUGGAUUUUGUGGCCGGUAUGGGUUUGGGUUUUUUUGGUUUUGUAUUUGGGCUGGAUUAUUCGGGUCGCGGGUUUGGGUUUGAUUUGUUGAAACCCGGUUGGACUUAGGGUUUUGUGAUGUUUGCAAAAUAGAGGGCGGCGGCUGCUUCUCCGCAUCUGCAGCAGUAUCGUGCCGAUGGCCGCAGCGAUGAGGGCGGCUAUCAAGUUGGUACUGUUCACCGUUGGGUUUGAAUUUUCUGCAGGUGCUGCCAUCGCGGUUUCCGGUUGCUGGAGAUGGUUUGGCUGCUCCCGAUCGUCACACACGAGUUCCCGAGGCCAAGACUGACCGGGAUUAGCUGCUGGAAGCGUGUCAGUGGCAGCUCGAAGGUGUGUUGUCCGUGAGCUGGUAUCGCAGGAUCCGGUAGCAAACGACGGUGGCAAUGGCAGAUCGAGGUUGGAUUGGCAUUCAGAUGAGAUUAAUUGCCGUUUAGAACCGUUCGCGGUGUUCGAAAUAGAAGCUGCAGCAACCGGUUUGGUAGGGAGUAAAUGCCGUGAACUGGAUUUUUUUUUAGAUGGAUUUUUUGAUGUUUUUAGCUGCCGAUUUGUGUCAAGAUGGGGGAGGUAUGGUCGCAGAGACCUGGAAAUGGUGUCAGAUGUGUUCAAAUUGGUUGAAAUUUCUGGUGCUUGAGUAGAGGAAGGAGGCCGUGAGUUUGUUUUGGUUUUUUGGGUUGGGAGUGGUGUUUUUGAGGUCUGCCGGUUUGUUUGAUGGCCGCCGGCAGGAGGAGGAGGUUCCAGCAUUGGUCGAUCAUCAUCACCAGCAGCCGAUGUGGCCAUAGCGGCUGGUCAAGGUUCGGUCAAACCUUGGUCAACGCCGGUAAAAAGUUUUGUGAACAGUAAACAAUUAAUUCCAAGUGUCUAUUGAUUGAACGUAUUUCUGAAAUUAAAUAAAAGCUUAGUUUUUUUCCAAGCAUAUUGUUAGAACUUCACUUCCUUUUCUUUGGUUAUAGGAAGUAACUGAUCUUCAAGAGAUGUCCAGAGGUGAGAGGCUGUUUCCAUGCCUAUAUUGGAGCUCAACAAUUCUUCUGUCAUAAGUCCUAACAACCAAGACGUAAGCAAACUGUCGUUGCUUUCCCAUGAGAUCAAUUCGGGAUUUUCAGCAAUUUCUCCAUCUUUCUGUAAAAUUUUCUCUUGUGGCUUUUCAGACAAAAGAAUAUGGUGGGAUAAUCCGAGGCUUCGAAUGAGGGGUAGGAUUUGAGAUCGCCACAGAAGAAAAUUUGUAGAGUUAAGUCUCACGGAGACAAGGCUGGAACAUUGGUGGAAAGGCUUGGCUGUUUCGGGUUGGCUCUUUAGGAAGAGAUGACGAAGAAGAAGAGGAGGUUGCACCAGGAGCCAUAACGUGCUCUGAUACCAUGAAAAGGAAUAUUAUGCUGACAAUUUUUUUCUUGAUGUGUAUAAAAACGAGAGAGCUACAAACUUAUAUACAAGUAUCAAAGUCAGCCAAAUCUUUUAGUGUAAAGACUAGACAGGCUGUCUUAUGUAUGUCUAGAUAUCAUUUGUGCAUAAGGAAUAUUAAUAUUAUCAAGUGAUACUAGCUUAGAAUAAAGAUUGUGUCUAGCAUACAGGGGUCAUUGAUGCCAAAUCUUGGAGAUGCUCAUCUUUAUUGUGAUUUUGUCGAGAUAUUUGCCGCUAGCUAAUAAUAUUCGGUGAGCUGUAGUUACUGAUUGUAUGGUUUAUCACAUAUAAAUACAAUAAAUUUCUGUUGUUUGUUUCAAUCGGAAUAUAGAAAGAUAAACAGGUCCACUUCACUUUAUGUUUGAGUCAUCAACAUUCGAUCCAGCGAGGAAUCAAAGGUAGGAAACUUACAAGCAAGAAAAGAACUAAUCAAUAUAAAGUGAGAUUCUUUCUAUGAGUGGUGCUAAAAAUAAAAGCGGCACCA
rnacentral:lncRNA from 1 species